UUAAGCGACUAAGCGUACACGGUGGAUGCCCUGGCAGUCAGAGGCGAUGAAGGACGUGCUAAUCUGCGAUAAGCGUCGGUAAGGUGAUAUGAACCGUUAUAACCGGCGAUUUCCGAAUGGGGAAACCCAGUGUGUUUCGACACACUAUCAUUAACUGAAUCCAUAGGUUAAUGAGGCGAACCGGGGGAACUGAAACAUCUAAGUACCCCGAGGAAAAGAAAUCAACCGAGAUUCCCCCAGUAGCGGCGAGCGAACGGGGAGCAGCCCAGAGCCUGAAUCAGUAUGUGUGUUAGUGGAAGCGUCUGGAAAGGCGCGCGAUACAGGGUGACAGCCCCGUACACAAAAAUGCACAUAUUGUGAGCUCGAUGAGUAGGGCGGGACACGUGGUAUCCUGUCUGAAUAUGGGGGGACCAUCCUCCAAGGCUAAAUACUCCUGACUGACCGAUAGUGAACCAGUACCGUGAGGGAAAGGCGAAAAGAACCCCGGCGAGGGGAGUGAAAAAGAACCUGAAACCGUGUACGUACAAGCAGUGGGAGCACGCUUAGGCGUGUGACUGCGUACCUUUUGUAUAAUGGGUCAGCGACUUAUAUUCUGUAGCAAGGUUAACCGAAUAGGGGAGCCGAAGGGAAACCGAGUCUUAACUGGGCGUUAAGUUGCAGGGUAUAGACCCGAAACCCGGUGAUCUAGCCAUGGGCAGGUUGAAGGUUGGGUAACACUAACUGGAGGACCGAACCGACUAAUGUUGAAAAAUUAGCGGAUGACUUGUGGCUGGGGGUGAAAGGCCAAUCAAACCGGGAGAUAGCUGGUUCUCCCCGAAAGCUAUUUAGGUAGCGCCUCGUGAAUUCAUCUCCGGGGGUAGAGCACUGUUUCGGCAAGGGGGUCAUCCCGACUUACCAACCCGAUGCAAACUGCGAAUACCGGAGAAUGUUAUCACGGGAGACACACGGCGGGUGCUAACGUCCGUCGUGAAGAGGGAAACAACCCAGACCGCCAGCUAAGGUCCCAAAGUCAUGGUUAAGUGGGAAACGAUGUGGGAAGGCCCAGACAGCCAGGAUGUUGGCUUAGAAGCAGCCAUCAUUUAAAGAAAGCGUAAUAGCUCACUGGUCGAGUCGGCCUGCGCGGAAGAUGUAACGGGGCUAAACCAUGCACCGAAGCUGCGGCAGCGACACUAUGUGUUGUUGGGUAGGGGAGCGUUCUGUAAGCCUGUGAAGGUGUGCUGUGAGGCAUGCUGGAGGUAUCAGAAGUGCGAAUGCUGACAUAAGUAACGAUAAAGCGGGUGAAAAGCCCGCUCGCCGGAAGACCAAGGGUUCCUGUCCAACGUUAAUCGGGGCAGGGUGAGUCGACCCUAAGGCGAGGCCGAAAGGCGUAGUCGAUGGGAAACAGGUUAAUAUUCCUGUACUUGGUGUUACUGCGAAGGGGGGACGGAGAAGGCUAUGUUGGCCGGGCGACGGUUGUCCCGGUUUAAGCGUGUAGGCUGGUUUUCCAGGCAAAUCCGGAAAAUCAAGGCUGAGGCGUGAUGACGAGGCACUACGGUGCUGAAGCAACAAAUGCCCUGCUUCCAGGAAAAGCCUCUAAGCAUCAGGUAACAUCAAAUCGUACCCCAAACCGACACAGGUGGUCAGGUAGAGAAUACCAAGGCGCUUGAGAGAACUCGGGUGAAGGAACUAGGCAAAAUGGUGCCGUAACUUCGGGAGAAGGCACGCUGAUAUGUAGGUGAAGUCCCUCGCGGAUGGAGCUGAAAUCAGUCGAAGAUACCAGCUGGCUGCAACUGUUUAUUAAAAACACAGCACUGUGCAAACACGAAAGUGGACGUAUACGGUGUGACGCCUGCCCGGUGCCGGAAGGUUAAUUGAUGGGGUUAGCCGCAAGGCGAAGCUCUUGAUCGAAGCCCCGGUAAACGGCGGCCGUAACUAUAACGGUCCUAAGGUAGCGAAAUUCCUUGUCGGGUAAGUUCCGACCUGCACGAAUGGCGUAAUGAUGGCCAGGCUGUCUCCACCCGAGACUCAGUGAAAUUGAACUCGCUGUGAAGAUGCAGUGUACCCGCGGCAAGACGGAAAGACCCCGUGAACCUUUACUAUAGCUUGACACUGAACAUUGAGCCUUGAUGUGUAGGAUAGGUGGGAGGCUUAGAAGUGUGGACGCCAGUCUGCAUGGAGCCGACCUUGAAAUACCACCCUUUAAUGUUUGAUGUUCUAACGUUGACCCGUAAUCCGGGUUGCGGACAGUGUCUGGUGGGUAGUUUGACUGGGGCGGUCUCCUCCUAAAGAGUAACGGAGGAGCACGAAGGUUGGCUAAUCCCUGGUCGGACAUCAGGAGGUUAGUGCAAUGGCAUAAGCCAGCUUGACUGCGAGCGUGACGGCGCGAGCAGGUGCGAAAGCAGGUCAUAGUGAUCCGGUGGUUCUGAAUGGAAGGGCCAUCGCUCAACGGAUAAAAGGUACUCCGGGGAUAACAGGCUGAUACCGCCCAAGAGUUCAUAUCGACGGCGGUGUUUGGCACCUCGAUGUCGGCUCAUCACAUCCUGGGGCUGAAGUAGGUCCCAAGGGUAUGGCUGUUCGCCAUUUAAAGUGGUACGCGAGCUGGGUUUAGAACGUCGUGAGACAGUUCGGUCCCUAUCUGCCGUGGGCGCUGGAGAACUGAGGGGGGCUGCUCCUAGUACGAGAGGACCGGAGUGGACGCAUCACUGGUGUUCGGGUUGUCAUGCCAAUGGCACUGCCCGGUAGCUAAAUGCGGAAGAGAUAAGUGCUGAAAGCAUCUAAGCACGAAACUUGCCCCGAGAUGAGUUCUCCCUGACUCCUUGAGAGUCCUGAAGGAACGUUGAAGACGACGACGUUGAUAGGCCGGGUGUGUAAGCGCAGCGAUGCGUUGAGCUAACCGGUACUAAUGAACCGUGAGGCUUAACCU
rnacentral:rRNA from 1 species